rnacentral:misc_RNA from 1 species
GGUGAAGAACGUAGCGAAAUGCGAUACUUGGUGUGAAUUGCAGAAUCCCGUGAACCAUCGAGUCUUUGAACGCAAGUUGCGCCCGAAGCCAUCAGGUUGAGGGCACGUCUGCCUGGGCGUCACAUAUCGUUGGUCGAUGCCUAUCGCAUUGCGAUAGGACUUAGGGCGAAUGAUGGCUUCCCGUGAGCGUUGUUGCCUCGCGGUUGGUUGAAAAUCGAGUCCUUGGUAGGGUGUGCCAUGAUAGAUGGUGGUCGAGUUAGCACGAGACUGAUCAUGUGCAUGCUCCCCAAAAUAUGGCCUCUGUGACCCACACGCGUCUUUUGACGCUCAUGACGAGACCUCAGGUCAGGCGGGGCUACCCGCUGAAUUUAAGCAUAUCAAUAAGCGGAGGA